CCCCCCUCACCUUCGUAGAUCAAAAGAAGGACUUUCGAAAAUAAAAUCGAGAAACCCGCGUGGAGAGCGCUGGGCUUUCAAAACGCGUUCUGGUGCAUACUCCGGAUGUGGGAGAGGAAAUCGGGCGGGGGGAGACGCGGUCGGUGUCACCCGCCGGGCUACAAGACUCAUUUCAGACAGGGAAACGUUAUAACAUCUGUUCCACGCGGGAUCCAAGUAAAAUG